rnacentral:rRNA from 1 species
CUACACUUUUAAACACACUUGUGAACCCAUUGUAGAUCGAGUCCAUUGAAAAGUAGUAUCAAGCUACCUAAUAGAGGGCUAAUUGGCUUAUUGAAAAGUACCGUUGCUUAUUGAAAAGUAGUGUGAACUACCUAAUAGAAAGCUUAGUACCUAAUAGAGGGCUGGUUGGCUUAUCGAAAAGUGGCAAGAUGUCGAACUACCUAAUAGAGGGCUAAUUGGCUUAUUGAAAAGUACUUCUUAUUGAAAAGUAGUGUGAACUACCUAAUAGAAAGCUUAGUACCUAAUAGAGGGCUAGUUGGCUUAUCGAAAAGUGGUAAGAAACUACCUAAUAGAGGGCUUAGUUGGCUCAUUGAAACGUAGUUAAGUUGGCUUAUCGAAAAGUGGUAAAUAGAGGGCUARUUGGCUUAUUGAAAAGUACGGCUUAUUGAAAAAGUAGUGUGAACUACAACUUAACUACCUAAUAGAGGGUCGUAGAAGAUCUAUGUUUAAUCUACACAACAUCGUAUGUCCAGAAAUUAUAAAUAAAUUACAACUUUCAGCAAUGGAUCUCUUUGGUUCUCGCAUCGAUGAAGAACGCAGCGAAUCGCGAUAAGUAAUGUGAAUUGCAGAUUUUCAGUGAAUCAUCGAAUCUUUGAACGCACCUUNCGCCCCUUGGUAUUCCGAGGGGCAUGCCUGUUUGAGUGUCAUUUUAUCAUCAACUCAUUAGUCUUUCAUUAGGCUAUUGGGCUUGGAUUUGGGAAUUGCUGGCUUGAUCUUUUACCCAUUGAACAGUAUCUAAUACUUAAUAGAGGGUAAAGUGUAGUCGGCUGUCCUUAAAAGCAUUAGCGAGUGUUAGUCUACAUGGCACGGCCUCUUGACGUGAUAAUGAUCGUCGUGGGCUGGAAGUGUAGUGUCUGGCUUCUAAUCCGAUUGUGUGCAUACGGCCCUUAAAGCUGGAAGCGCAAUCAAAACCGACUACGUGCAUACGGCCCAUAAAGCUGGAAGCGUAAUCAAAAUGACCUUUGACCUCAAAUCAGGUAGGACUACCCGCUGAACUUAAGCAUAUCA